CAGAAAGAUUCGGCGCCGGGACUAGCAUGCCGUAUAUACUUCUCUCCCCUAAAAGCACAGCAGCUUGGUUGAGACGUCACCGGCCGGGGCGAUCUCCCGCUGCAUCACAGGAGGAAACAACACGGACACCGAAACGGAACCACCGCACCAGAGUUUAAGGACCCUCCAUACCAUCAGUAACCGGUAAUCAGUGCUACAACUAUGGAUUAUUAAUGCUACACAUGAACUCAGAAACACGCGCAGUAGGCAAUAAUCUAUCUGAACGGGCAUCACCCAUAGCAACCAGCCACACGGACGGCG